rnacentral:rRNA from 1 species
GACGAACGCUGGCGGCGUGCUUAACACAUGCAGGUCGAACGGAAAGGCCCUGCUUGCAGGGUACUCGAGUGGCGAACGGGUGAGUAACACGUGGGUGAUCUGCCCUGCACUUCGGGAUAAGCCUGGGAAACUGGGUCUAAUACCGGAUAGGAGCCAUUUUUAGUGUGAUGGUUGGAAAGUUUUUUCGGUGUAGGAUGAGCUCGCGGCCUAUCAGCUUGUUGGUGGGGUAAUGGCCUACCAAGGCGGCGACGGGUAGCCGGCCUGAGAGGGUGGACGGCCACAUUGGGACUGAGAGACGGCCCAGACGCCUACGGGAGGCAGAAGGGGGGAAGAUUGCACAAUGGGCGCAAGCCUGAUGCAGCGACGCCGCGUGGGGGAUGACGGCCUUCGGGUUGUAAACUCCUUUCGCUAGGGACGAAGCUUUUUGUGACGGUACCUAGAUAAGAAGCACCGGCUAACUACGUG